UUUAAUGUUUGAUGUUCUAACGUGGACCCGUGAUCCGGGUUGCGGACAGUGUCUGGUGGGUAGUUUGACUGGGGCGGUCUCCUCCUAAAGAGUAACGGAGGAGCACGAAGGUUGGCUAAUCCUGGUCGGACAUCAGGAGGUUAGUGCAAUGGCAUAAGCCAGCUUGACUGCGAGCGUGACGGCGCGAGCAGGUGCGAAAGCAGGUCAUAGUGAUCCGGUGGUUCUGAAUGGAAGGGCCAUCGCUCAACGGAUAAAAGGUACUCCGGGGAUAACAGGCUGAUACCGCCCAAGAGUUCAUAUCGACGGCGGUGUUUGGCACCUCGAUGUCGGCUCAUCACAUCCUGGGGCUGAAGUAGGUCCCAAGGGUAUGGCUGUUCGCCAUUUAAAGUGGUACGCGAGCUGGGUUUAGAACGUCGUGAGACAGUUCGGUCCCUAUCUGCCGUGGGCGCUGGAGAACUGAGGGGGGCUGCUCCUAGUACGAGAGGACCGGAGUGGACGCAUCACUGGUGUUCGGGUUGUCAUGCCAAUGGCACUGCCCGGUAGCUAAAUGCGGAAGAGAUAAGUGCUGAAAGCAUCUAAGCACGAAACUUGCCCCGAGAUGAGUUCUCCCUGAGACUUUAGGUCUCCUGAAGGAACGUUGAAGACGACGACGUUGAUAGGCCGGGUGUGUAAGCGCAGCGAUGCGUUGAGCUAACCGGUACUAAUGAACCGUGAGGCUUAACCUUACA
rnacentral:rRNA from 1 species